AACGAACGCUGGCGGCAGGCCUAACACAUGCAAGUCGAGCGAGAUUUUCGGAUCUAGCGGCGGACGGGUUAGUAACGCGUGGGAAUAUACCCUUUGGUACGGAAUAGCCCUGGGAAACUGGGAGUAAUACCGUAUGUGCCCUUCGGGGGAAAGAUUUAUCGCCAAAGGAUUAGCCCGCGUUGGAUUAGAUAGUUGGUGGGGUAAUGGCCUACCAAGUCGACGAUCCAUAGCUGGUUUGAGAGGAUGAUCAGCAACACUGGGACUGAGACACGGCCCAGACUCCUACGGGAGGCAGCAGUGGGGAAUCUUAGACAAUGGGCGCAAGCCUGAUCUAGCCAUGCCGCGUGGACGAUGAAGGCCUUAGGGUUGUAAAGUCCUUUCAGUCUGGGAAGAUAAUGACGGUACCAGCAGAAGAAGCCCCGGCUAA
rnacentral:rRNA from 1 species